UCUACUUUCUGUAACAUAAUUUGAACAGGUUCAUUUUAGUGUGCUUUCUUUUCAAUCAGGGAGAGAGUGAGUUCAUGAUAUUGAACAGGUUGCUUCUCCUAAGAUGAGCAGAUAAAAUUCUGUCUCAACUCCUUUACAGAAUAAUGAAGGAAUUCUGGAGGCUUUUGUAAAGUCAUGGAUUUCUAGGGGGCCUUGCCAGAGCUGCUACUCGAGGAUCAGUGACAAUUACAAUGGCAUUGCACCACCUUUCAUCUUUCAUUUUCCACAUUUGUGCUGGUGACAAGUUGCUUCUAAGGAAUAAGCUGUUGAAGUCUCUCCUGCGUGACUACUUUCAGCAAGCAACAACAUGAGGCAUGAUGCUGGAUUUUAUUUGAUAUUCUAAGUCAGCAAAAUAUCAAGAUGAUGCUUUACUGUCGAGCAUGGUUUGAGAAAUCGGAUUGGAUUGGUCAGGAUUGGCUGCUUUUGAUCGAAAUCUGCCUUGACUGAUCCCAAUUCUUGGCUGAUACCAUAUUGGUGUAUUGGUACGGAUGAGGGUUAAAUGAUCCAAAAAUUAUAUUUAAUUGCAAAAACAGAGGUAUUUUUAUCCAAUCUAACUGGUCCGGAUCGAUAUUUGAUCAGUAUCAGCCUUGACCUAUCCGUUCCCAGUACCAAGGUUUGAGAAAGAAGGCUCUAGUUAUUAACUAAAAGUUUGUGAAGGAAAUUCUUCCUUUUUGUCUGAAAUCUGGAAACUGAAAUCCUCUAGUGAAGCUGUCUAUCUGUCCCUAAUGUUUUUCAUAUUCCUCGUC